AAAUGAUGGUACGUCUCUCGUACAUCGAAAAUUUGGCAAGAUUUGUUUUAAUUUUCAAUUUGACUUUAAUACAACUUAAUCUUUUUCCAGAGAGUCCUCAAAGGAAACAUACAUCUGUUUAUGCGGCAAAUAUUAAAGGCUGUAAACAGCAAACAUUUUGAUACCAGUGAGUUAUAUAUAUGCUAUUAUAUAUGAU